AACAGAUGCUUCACUAUUAAAAUAUUUUCCCCCCAAGUCUCAAAUAUUGAAGAAUCUCUAACCAGGCUCGAAACGCCGGUCUCAGUGACUAUUGAGUUACCCACCAAGUUACCCCGGUUAGAGCUGUUUGGGGUGGCUCACGUUAUUGCGGCAAACUUUGGAGAUGACGGCUGAGUCCUCUGGGCGAACAUGUCAAGCCGAUUGUAAAUGCUGUUAUUUCCACAUCCUUCAGGGACACCAGUCCCAACGAAGACCUUGGGCGAUUUCAAAGUGCGGGCACCUCGAUUCCCCGAAUCUGUAGUGUGGCUGGUAUCGGUGUUUCCCUGGUUUAACUAGCCUGCUUGUGGAAGUGACUCUGACCGUUCCCUUAAGAAUCUUUAAUGCUCUUACAUGAGAUGAGCCUCAGAACAAGCUAAGAACCCUCUGAAAGAACAUCAAGCCUGGAAGGUGACAGAAGGAGCAAUGUGUUCUUGAAGAUGUCACCUCAGCCCACCUGCUCCAAGAACAGUG
rnacentral:antisense_RNA from 1 species